rnacentral:rRNA from 1 species
AUUGAACGCUGGCGGAAUGCUUUACACAUGCAAGUCGAACGGCAGCACGGGGGCAGCCCUGGUGGCGAGUGGCGAACGGGUGAGUAAUACAUCGGAACGUGCCCGGUCGUGGGGGAUAACGUAGCGAAAGUUACGCUAAUACCGCAUACGAUCUGAGGAUGAAAGCGGGGGACCUUCGGGCCUCGCGCGAUCGGAGCGGCCGAUGUCAGAUUAGGUAGUUGGUGGGGUAAAGGCCUACCAAGCCGACGAUCUGUAGCUGGUCUGAGAGGACGACCAGCCACCCUAGGACUUGGACACGGGCCAGACUCCUACGGGAGGCAGCAGUGGGGAAUUUUGGACAAUGGGCGCAAGCCUGAUCCAGCCAUUCCGCGUGCAGGACGAAGGCCUUCGGGUUGUAAACUGCUUUUGUACGGAACGAAAAGGCUCUGGCUAAUACCUGGGGCUCAUGACGGUACCGUAAGAAUAAGCACCGGCUAACUACGUG